GAAACCAGCUUUCUUAGCAGAGGUUACAUUCACUCACUGAGUGGAGAGGCAAGAACUGAACUGCAGGCUCUUGCCCCCCAGUGCCGGAACCAUCUAGAUGUUUGUGUUUGAGAGAAUGAAGUUUGGCUGGUCUGCCUGCCCUGAAACUACUGGAAGCAAAUCCUGAUGUUUCAAAAACAUACAAAAAAGGAGUCCAAAACAAGAACCUGGGCAUACUGAAAAGGCAUCUAGAACAGCGCAUGGAUAAAGCCUUAUCAGCUGUGUUGACUUUGGGGGGGGGGGUGUAUGUGAUAGCUAGAACUUAUAAACCUGUCAAAGAAAGGAUGUGGAAGGUGAACAGGUUGUCCUGUGCUGAGGUUUCUACUAAGUUGACAAAGUAAUUUUGAUCCUCUGGAAUUGAAUGUUAGGAAAUGGAGAUUUAUUUCUGAAAUAUUUCUUCUUUUCAAGGGGCAAAAUCAUGGACAAAUAAUCCACAUAUAUAGAAAAGACAUGAUCAAUUACAGCAAAGCAUGAGAACCUGCACAUAGAGAAGAUUGUUCCCAUUCAGCAAUAUCUAAUUCUACUCCCUGGUAUCUCCAGCAUGGCCACAGCUUAUAGCACAGUUAUGGAAAAUUAAUUUUUGAACCUAUCUUGCAAAUAAUCAUGUUAAAUACCACUUUCCCCAGAUGAACAUCACUGACAGCCUGAAGGAAUGCAAGCAUAACUAAUAUGCUUUUACUAUGUUUUUGCAAAGUAACUUUCCCAUUUACCCUACUCUCCUGGUCUUUGAUCAUUUGCUCUUGCUCUUUACAUCGGAGUCAAAAUAUCUUUGCUUGGGAAUUUUAUUAAGUUUUGGUCCGAAAAUUAAUUCUUGGCCCAAACCUCCCUGUGGCCCUUGGGGACUACUGAAAGACAGAGAAUAAUGUGACUGAAAUAAGAAGAGUGAAGUCUAGGCUAGAUAUAUUAUUACACAGUGCUAGAUUUAAUUAGAUUGAAUGUAACAUUUUCAGUUUGCAAACUAUUGCUAUGUUGCAUUUUAGAUUUCAGUUCAUCUCAUCUUGCUUGAGAGAAAGAGACUUCCAGGGGCAGUUUAUCACUUCCGAAAGUAGUAUUUAAUACAGGUAGGACUGCUUUGCGAUAGAAAAAGACAGACUUGGGUAGCUCAUCAAUAGGAUAUAGAGUAAGUAUAGUAAAAAAGGUCAAAACUUGAUUUUUUUCUCUUUAAUUCACCUAGGGUGAAAUGUAUCACCCAUAAUUGCCUAGCUACAUCCCCCCCAUGAGGAUUUUUCAGCAGGUCCUUCCAGUUGCUCUUUGCAGAUGAAAAAUAUUCUGUACAUCAAAUUAUGUGGAAACAUUCCCAUAAAAAGAAAAAAUUAUUUGAAAAUGCAGUAUGUUGAGGUCAAUGACUUUUGUCUGAAUGUCUUUGGAUUGGAUGAGUAUUUGAAAAUAAAUACAAGGUUUCUGGGGUAUCUUGGACAAGAUUUCUAAGUGGUCAAUCACCAAGAGUUGAAUUUUUCAGAUCAGGUACCCCCUUGGCACACAUGGUAGCGCUGUGACCAAACAGGAAUGGACUGAGACCAGAUGCAAUAACACCAAAACACCACAAGAAGAAAAAAAAAACAUUCUUACAUGAAAUUCAGAGACAACUAACGUCAGGAAAUCUUACAGGAAGCUUUGUUAAAUGAAGAUACUUGAUAAGACUCUCCAGCCAAAGAAGACUGAAUUAGUAUAAUGCAACACAACCAAGCAAAA